rnacentral:rRNA from 1 species
CAGUCGCCACGGGAACACGGAGGAUCCAAGCGUUAUCCGGAAUCAUUGGGUUUAAAGGGUCCGUAGGCGGUCUUGUAAGUCAGUGGUGAAAGCCCAUCGCUCAACGGUGGAACGGCCAUUGAUACUGCAGGACUUGAAUUAUUGGGAAGUAACUAGAAUAUGUAGUGUAGCGGUGAAAUGCUUAGAGAUUACAUGGAAUACCAAUUGCGAAGGCAGGUUACUACCAAUUGAUUGACGCUGAUGGACGAAAGCGUGGGUAGCGAACAGGAUUAGAUACCCCGGUAGUCCCUGUCUCUUAUAC